AGGUGCUAAAGAGUCAUGCUUAGGCUGAAGAGCCCAAACUGAAAAAAGAGUUUAAGAUUAACCUAGUCGGACAGAGUCCCUUGAUCCGAACAGGCAAAGAAAAAGAAAUCAGCACGGGUUGCUGGACAAGAUACUUACAUGAUAACACCUUGUGAUUUCUCUGUCUAUGACACUACUGCUUCAAUAUUGGAUAUCGAAAGUCCAUGCAAAUUAUUGCAACG
rnacentral:lncRNA from 1 species